AUUGAACGCUGGCGGCAGGCCUAACACAUGCAAGUCGAGCGGAGCGGCGGACGGGUGAGUAAUGCCUAGGAAUCUGCCUGGUAGUGGGGGAUAACGUCCGGAAACGGGCGCUAAUACAGCAUACUAUCAGAUGAGCCUAGGGCGGAUUAGCUAGUUGGUGGGGUAAAGGACUAACAAGGCGACGAUCCGGCACUGGUCUGAGAGGAUGAUCAGUCACACUGUAAAUGAGAAACGGUCCAGACUUCUACGGGAGGCAGCAGGGGGGAAGAUUGGACAAUGGGCGAAGGCCUGAUCCAGUCAUGCAGCGUGUGUGAAUGAGUUCUUCGGAUUGGAAAGCACUUUAAGUUGGGAGGCGUUACCAACAGAAUAAGCACCGGCUAACUUCGUGCCAGCAGCCGCGGUAAUAC
rnacentral:rRNA from 1 species